UGUAUUUUUAUUUGUUUUACCAUUUUCUGGGAUUCUAACUGAACAAACUGAUAAUCAGUCAAUGUUCCAACCAAUUGAAUUUUGUUGUUAAGUGGCAUGGUGUAUCUUGGGCAGUUCAGUGGUUACUGUGUUGCUAUCUUAGCACGCUAGUAAACCAUAAGCAGAGAAUGGGAUUCCUGCUAACAUGGUAGCUAGCGUUGUAUGCUAAGCUAAGCGAAAAUAUGAACAAACAAAUCAUAUUGCUUAUUGCGAAACAAAUGUCUGUAUAUGAAACAGUAGGAAUUACCAAAAAUUCACAGUUAAUUCCCAUUAAUUCCCAUAAUUUCCUUUAAUUCCAUAACAGUUUCCAAUUUGGAAUAUUUCCAAAAUUCCCAAUCUUAACUACCCAUGGAAAGUUUCUGGUAAGUUUCCUGAAAUUUACCGGAAAUGUUCCGCCACUUUGCAACCCUAUUUACUUUAUAAGGCUUUCACUGCCCUAGCAGUUACAACAAUAAUAAUAUCCUACCACAUAUAGACAUCCAUUUACCAGCACCUGUGGGGAAAAGCACAGUUGUAAGCAUAUAAUCCCACAUAAAGCUCCACAUUAAAAUCCUUUUGUGCAGAAACCUGUCUCAGGACUGGUGGGGUAGACUAGGUAGUUUUCAUCCAUAUCAUGUAUCAUGUCAUUGGCACUAGAAUCAGACCCGGUGUGCUACUCUUUCUAUAUCAUUAUGGGGUCUAGUUAUCUUGGAAAAAUUAAGAAAAAACUAUAAUAACCAGUUACAAUAAACAAAUCACAGAAAGUGGACUGUUAACAGUCAGUUACUUGGGGGGUUGAGUGGCCUAGUUCCUCAUAGGGUCAGGGGAUCAGCGAUGGAAUUGAAUACAUUGACCUAGAUAAACAAUUUCAGACUGCAUUAGUUAGGCUUUUACAGAAUUAAGAAGUCGUCCCCCCAUUUGCAGACAAGAGGUGAAGGGAGCAAAUAGCCUUGUGAUGUGAUAUUUUAGUAGUACUAAAAAAGUAACAAUGCAGUUUAGCAUAGGAAUAUGACUUUUUUGUUAUUUAUUAUUUUCAUGUAUUCAUUUUGCAUUAAUAUCCAAUUUCAUGAGGGUACCAGGGUAGAUUACUAUGCAAACAAGAGCAUUGACACCAUAUUCUGGUUUAGUUCAGCUGAAUUUAUUUAAUUUCAAAAGAAUAUAAAGGUGAUAAGUAUUAUAGAAGGAAUUAUUGUAAAAUGCAAACCAGGCUAUGCAUAACACCUAUCAAAUUAAAAUGUAAAAAUGUUGUGCUCACUCCCAUCUUGCAGUUUAUUUGUAAUGACCACUGCUGUGCACCCACACACAUUGCACACUGCUGCCCCUCCUCCACCACAAAGCCGGGUGUGUUCACAACACAACCAUAGCACAACCAUAGUACAGGGGCCUCAUUACAGAAACUUCCUAACUCUGAAAUCCUAUCUUAUCUCAGUUUAGGAUGGCAUUUAGGAUUUUUGGUAUUGCAAAAGCAUGUUUCCUAACUGCAUUUAGGAAAAAAUCCUAUAAUUUUGCGUGUAACCCGUGCAACCCAGGAAAAAAUGUAGUCGCACCCUUAAAAAUGUAAUUUGCACUCUAGAGCCCUGACACAGCCAGCUGGCCCAUGUGCGAGGUAGAGAGGAAUGUCCUAUGCGCCCAAAGUGCACAGAAUCUACAUGUGUUCUACAACAAUAAUGGUGAUGGGAGUCACCAAACAACAAACGUGUCCCUCAUCACGACAUCUCUGCCAGAGGCAUAAGCAAACUAAGUAGCUGCUUUCAUGUGCCACUGCUAGGCUUAUUUCAGUAUAACUGCAUAAACAUACAAUGCAGAACCACAGAUCUCGCUAGUUUUAUCUUCACAGACUAAUAUUCAAUUUCCAUCCCUGUAUGUACACUGCAACAUGGGGCAGCCGCUCUGUGGACCUCACUGUGUGCUCUAGUUUCACUAAUUCACGGAUUGGGAUAAAUGCAGAGACCAAAUUUCCUCAUGGAAUCAAAAGAGUAUAAAUACUAUACUACUAUACUAUUCUAUACUGAAUCAAGUUUAAUCGUCUUAUCAGAGUCAGUUGGAAGAGACUACAAUGAUAAGCUAUGUACCCAGGGGCGCUGCUAGAUAAUUUUGGCCUUAUGACGGACAAUAAUUAUUUUGCUCUCUGUCUCUCCCAAGUUUAAUUACUCUUUAUUAUAUUUUAAAAAGCCCCUUGAAUUAGGAAUGUUGGUACACUAAUUUAUACUUCCACUCCUGAAGAACACAAAUAGCACUGUUUCAAAAUGUAGAGUUUUCAAGCCAUUGAGCUGUCUGUCAUGGUCUAAGCAAGAGUAAAGGUACGAAUGUGUUCAACAACCUUAAAGGAACAUUUCAACUUUUGGGAAUUAGAAGGAAUUAGAUUCAUUGGAAGUAAGUUACACCCGUUAGCCUAUAGCUCCCUUUUAUCUAUAGGCUAGCUAUAUGCUAACAGGUAAGCCACUUCUAAUGAAUUAUACGAAUAUUGGCUAAUGGUGUCAGAGUGGGUUAUUGCACACACAAGACGAAAAGGGUAUGCGCUAUACUGUAUGUGUGUUUGCAUAUCUGUAUCUUCACAACACAUCUAUGUGGUGACAUCUGGGUCAACAUUUUGCUUGAUGGACUGCAGUGUUGCAGAAUUAGAAACGGUUCAAAGAACGAAAACAAAAACUGUAAACGAACUAUAUGUUUGGAUAAAAGUAACUGAAAAUGAGAACAAAACCAUUUUUAAUUGUUCCGGUAUCUAUCGUUCCGAUUAACUUUUCUUUGAAUAUUAUUCAAAAGUCCAUAGACUUUAUUCAUUUAUCAUGUAAACAUACCUUACUGUUCUGUACUGA